GCCGCUAUCGUCUAGUCCGGCCAAGGACGCGGCGUUCUCAACGCUGAAACCCGGGUUCGAAUCCCGGUGGCGGCA
rnacentral:tRNA from 1 species